rnacentral:misc_RNA from 1 species
UACUGGCAGGAUCAACCAGGCAACAGUGAAGAGCAAGUAUCCUCUUCCCCGGAUCGACGGGCUCUUUGACCAGCUUUAGGGUGCUCAGUACUUUUCGAAGGUGGACCUGAGAUCGGGAUAUCAUCAGCUGCGAGUCAGAGAGCAGGAUGUGCAGAAGACGGCGUUUUGUACUUGCUACGGGCACUAUAAGUUCCUUGUGAUGCCAUUCGGGUUGACGAAUGCACUAGCAGUGUUCAUGGCUCUGAUGAACAAGAUCUUUGCCCCGUACCUCGACAGCUUUACAGUAGUGUUCAUCGACGAUGUGUUGGUCUACUCGAAGUCCAGAGAGGAGCACGAGCAGCAUUUGAGGACGCCUUUGCAGUUGUUGCGCGACAACCAGUUGUAUGCGAAGCUCAGCA